rnacentral:snRNA from 1 species
GUACUUACCUGGCAGGGGAGAUACCAUGAUCAGGAAGGUGUUUUUCCUAGGGAGAGGCUUAUCCAUUGCUUUCCGGAUGUGCUGACCCCUGUGAUUUCUUCAAAUGUGGGAAACUCAACUGCAUAGUUUGUGGUAGUGGGGGACUGCAUUCAUGCUCUCUCCUG